rnacentral:rRNA from 1 species
UACGUAGGGGGCGAGCGUUGUCCGGAUUUAUUGGGCGUAAAGAGCUCGUAGGCGGUUUGGUUAGUCGGAUGUGAAAUCUCCAGGCUCAACUUGGAGGGGUCAUCCGAUACUGCCAUGACUAGAGUUCGGUAGAGGAGUGUGGAAUUCCUGGUGGAGCGGUGAAAUGCGCAGAGAUCAGGAGGAACACCCGUAGCGAAGGCGGCACUCUGGGCCGAUACUGACGCUGAGGAGCGAAAGCGUGGGGAGCGAACAGG